UGAAGCUGGGGCUAAAUUGGUGGAUCCUGUUUUAGGGCCCCACCCAAGUCGUGCGGUCUUGCCCUUGGGGCCCAUAAGGGUGUCAAGAGGGGAGGGUGCCAGCCAUGGACAUGGGCCAUGGGUACUUGAGCCCUGUGAGGGGCCAAGGAAGACAGGUGCCGGCCCCUGUUGGUCG
rnacentral:rRNA from 1 species